CAGAGUAGGAUGUCCGAGCUGUUGCUUAGCACAUACUUGUUAGCUCGCACUGUUUGAGGCUCCCCACAAUAUUCGGGGGGGACAGCGAUCAUUUGGUAUGAGAAAAGGAUGCCGGAAGAAUACCCCGUCAGCCUGUGAUACCCGGGCGUCACUCUACAGUCAGAUCUCAAUUCAUCCAGAAGUUUCUUCAUCCACAGGCAGGGAUCAGCACCUUCUGAGUAUGUGAGGACGCCAUUUGCAGAUCCAAAGUUCUCCUGGACACUCUCUCGCCUCAGGACUCUGAAUAUAAAGACAGAUGCCAUAUGUUUUCAUCCUAUGUGGAUCCUGAGAAACUUAACAGAAGAACCAUGGGGGAGGGGAAAGAAAAAAAGAAGGUUAGA
rnacentral:lncRNA from 1 species